UACGUAGGGAGCGAGCGUUGUCCGGAAUCAUUGGGCGUAAAGAGCAUGUAGGUGGAUCAAUUAGUCUGCUGUGAAAGUCAAAGGCUCAACCUUUGAAAGCCGGUGGAUACUGUUGAUCUAGAGUACGGAAGAGGCGAGUGGAAUUCCUGGUGUAGCGGUGGAAUGCGCAGAUAUCAGGAGGAACACUGGUGGCGAAGGCGGGUCUCUGGGCCGAUACUGACGCUGGAGGAGUGAAAGCGUGGGGAGCGAACAGG
rnacentral:rRNA from 1 species